UCCUCUGGAAGAGCAGCCAGUGUCCUUGACUGCUGAGCCAUCUCCCCAGCCCCUUACCCUGUUUUUUGAGACAGAAUCUCACUGAACUUGGCAUUCAUCGUUUAUAUUAGAAUGCCAGGUCCUCAGGAUCCCCGUCUGCCCGUCAGUGCUGGGGUUACAAACAGGCACUUUACCCACAGGGCUUCUCCCUAGCCCAUCACCACCACCACCCCGACUUUCUACUUCUUUUUUUCCUUUGUGUGUGUGUGUGUGUGUGUGUGUGUGUGUGUGUGUGCGCGCGCGCGCGCGCGCAAAUGCGCGCGCGCAAGGGCAGGCAGGUUCUCUCAUUGCCUUGGAACUGACCAAGUAAACUAUGCUGGCUGGUUACUGAGCCCCAAGGAUAUGCCUAUGUUGGCCUUCCCAGUACUUGUGCUUGCAAGACAAACAGUUUACCAACUGAUUUCCCUCCAAGGCCCUGGCUGGCUGUUUGUUUUUAACAUGGUGAAGCACAUUUCCUAUAGUGGGGACCCUGAGUCCAGCUUGCCAUAGCCAGGAUCAGGGCUGGCAUCUGUGUGGGACUGGAGUGUCACCGUCUUGCCUCGCUAUGGAUCAAAGAAGGUGGAUUGGCAUGGGACAGUGUAGACAUUGAGCCAACAGAGGGCGUCCUUCCCACCCAUCUGGUUAUUGUCCUUGGACAGGCAGCCAGUGUGGUAGGAGGGGACCUUGGACAGAGGGUGCUGUGCUGGGAUAUGUGCCUUGGCUUGGGCCUUAUGAUGAACACAUCAUAAGUGUGAAAGGUAUGAGGGAGGCCUAGGUACACAGUGGCCCUGGAAUGGGUCCUAGAAAGUGGCCCUGUUUUUGAGAAGACAGCAAGGAUAUUUAGGAGAUUAUCGAGCACCGAUUGGGGGGGGGGCUCUCACAUCCCUCUACCUCUGCCGUCCUCCCCAGAUUAAGUACCUGCUUUUCUCCUUCAUGACACCAACAGCUUCCUCCUUACAGGUCUUCCCUACCCCACCCCACCCCGUCCCUGUUUUCCCCAGAGUUCCCAGGGGUCUGUCCUAGGCUGCUACUUUCUCUACUGUGGUCCGUAAGACCCUAGUUCCUUGGGCUCUGUAGCAGCCAGGAGUCUACCUCAUCCCCCAUCCACAGCCUCGCUCUCACCUAGCACCGCACCUGGAGCAACCUCUUGUCCCCUGCCCCGGAACAAAUCUCUUUGACUCCCAGACUUAGCUGUCUGUCCUUCCUAGGAGCUUUCAUUCCCAUGUCUGCCCACGACACCAAAAACCUCCUCUUCUCAGCCUGGGCCUACUGCUCUCUGAGAGCACAGUUACAGUGGGCUGUUGGUUGGCAGAACCCCUAGAGGGCCAUAGCCAGGAUCAGGUGGGGUUCUCUGGGCACCCAGUGGAGCACAGGGGAGGGGCGCGCAUGCGCGCGCGCACACACACACACACACACACACACACACACACACACGGUUGUAGGGCUAGGGAAACUGGCUUUUGAAGCACCUUCCAUCAAGGAUUCUUGCUUGCUUUUGGAGAACAGUUUGCAUCCUGAGAGAAGUAUGUCAAACAAGGUCUAACUGGCUGUACAUGUGACUUUUCGUCUCUUUGAAGAAUAUGAGGUAGCGUGUAGGACCAGUUUAACGAGGAUGCUAUUCAAAGGACUGAUGUGGGAGCAUCUAUGAACUUGGUUCCUAAUGAUAUAUGGAGUGUCUCUCAGUGGAGCACCCCUCAAGUGGAGCACCCUCACCUGGAGCACCCUCAUGUGGAGGACCCCUCACUUGGAACACUCUCAACUGGAUCACCUUUUAAUUGAAAUACAAUUAACCGGAGCAACCCUCAUGUGGAGCCCUCACAUCUGGAGCAUCCUCAGGUAAAGCCUCCUCACCUGGAGGACCCCUCAUUUGAAAAACCCUCAACUGGAUCACCUUUGCACUGAAAAACACUUAACUGGAGAACCUUUCACUGGAGCACUUCUGUGGGAGCACUCAUCACCUGGAACACUUCUCACUUGGAGCACCCCUCUCUGGAGACAUCCCUCAUAGAAAACUACUCCCACCAUCAUCAAUCACCCUUAUCUUGAUGUCGAGCACAGAGGACAGUCUCCUGUCCAGGCUACUGGGGUCCAACUCUACAGUGAUGGGGACCUCUGCAGGCCUAGAAGUGCUGGCACAUUUGGCUCAGAGACAGAGAGAGGGCUGAGGGAGCAUCAGGGUAUCACUGCCUGGCCUAGAAUGAUGACGCUAUGUCUUCCCUAAAUCUUAUCACAGGUGCUCCUCAGGCAUGUCCUUAGGAGGCUCUAGUGUGGAGAGGGUGCUUGGGAGACACAUGGCUGGGUCAAAUUCUCCUCAGGUCAUUCCCUUCACUGAACCCCUUCUGGGAAAUGUGACUGGGCUCUAAGGAGGGAAGCCCUGAAUAUUUUAGCACAGUAUUGGUGAGCAACCCCAUCAAGGACAAAGUGAGUCAUCCUGGGGCUAGACAGGUACUUUGUGCCCCUGCUCCCCUCUGCCCUCUUUCCCUACCUCCCCCUCCUUUACUUACCCUGUACCCCUAUCCAUCCUACCUCCUUUCCCCACUGUACCCCUGGACCCUCCUUUUCCUCCAGCCCAGAGUUGGAGGCUCAAGAGCACUGGAGAGAAGCAGGUGGGACAGGUGUCGUCUGCCCGCCCAGAAGACAGAGUGAGGGCACCAAGGCCUUUGCUCUGGUCUGGCCCGCCCCCUGUCAAGGCUGAGGAUGACUCAGGGCCCAGCUGUCACCUCAGCAGCACGCGUCGCCUAGUGAUGGCGGUCUCCCGGCAACGGUCGUCUCCUAGCAAUGGGAUAUUUUCCCCUGGCCCUGGCUGGAGCCAGUGGCUAUUUUUAGCUCGGCUUCAAAUCAAUCAGCAGCUGCAUUUUGGGCUCCUCAGAAGAUGCAAGGUGUUGCAGGGUGCGCUUCUCAGCAAAUGAGAAGACACAGAGAUAGAAACCUUAAUGCCUGACCCCUUGAAGUGCUGGGCUGAAGGAAUGAGCCAAUGAAUGUAACCGUGGUGGACCCCUGGACAUCGGUGGUGGACCCCUGGACAUCGGUGGUGGACCCCUGGACAUCCGUGGUGGACCCCUGGACAUCCGUGGUGGACCCCUGGACAUCCGUGGUGGACCCCUGGACAUCCAUGGUGGACCCCUGACAUCCAUGGUGGACCCCUGGACAUCCGUGGUGGACCCCUGGACAUCCGUGGUGGACCCAGGUGUCCUGUGUCCUUCUGUAAAUGCCUUGGCAUCUGCUAUGCUUUCCUCAGGCUGCGUGAUGUCUUUUAAUUGAAAUAAUUUUAUUCUGAUU